ensembl:lncRNA
AGUUUUCCCACCCAGCUGAGUUUUGUCAUGAAGUCGGGAAUUGUGAGCUUAUAUGUGCAGUUGAUAUCCGCAACAGCAAGUGUCAAAACUACACACUUAAGAAGAAAAAGGGUUACUAUUUUGAGUUAUAACUAAGAAAGAUAGAAAGGAAUAAAUAAGACGAUAGGACUAUUAGUGACUCUUUCCCAGGACAGCAGAGAGCGACAGUAGCUGCAGUGAAGGAGCAAACACCGGUCUUCUCUGAGGUUUCCGAUCAUCUCUUCAGUCACAGAGGACCCAUGCCAGUAUGGGAGCUGCACUUGAAAUUGUACUGUGCAGAGAGUGUGGGAGAACAAUAGAUAUUGACUUUUUGACUUUUCUUAUCAAACUUGUUUUUGGUUUGGAUUUUGGAUGGAACCUGGUAGCUAGGCUUAAAGAAAGGAAUUUAAACUUAUGCAAGCAGUGUUACAGGAGAAAGCAGGAUGCAGAAGAAGAGCAAAUGAGGGAGGAAGAGGAGAGGAAAAGGAGACAAGAGAGGAGACGGAGAGAGGAGGAGGAGACAAGACUGAGGGAGGAGGAAGAAAGGAAAAGGAGACAAGAGGAGGAGAGAAGGAGAAAGGAGGAGAAAAGAUUAAUGGAGGAGGAGAAGAGACAGAUGGAGGAGGAGAGAAGAGAGAAGCAGGAGGAGGAGAGGAGAAUAAGGGAAGUGGGGUUUAGUCUGGAAAAGACUCAGACUGAGUUGCAGGAAAAGAGGAGAAAUGAGAGGAGAGCAGAGGAGGAGAGGCGUGAAACCACAGUGGUCACAGAGACAUUCCAGUCACAGUGCCGCUCCCCAGAGAGCAGACAGCCAGACAGAGGAUUACUCAGCAUCCUGUCUCAAAAGUGUGGAAUCCCUGAGGGAGACAUAGAUCUCCGAAGACUCCGACCCCAGCAGGUCCUGUCCCUUUCUCGCUCUCUCCGGGAGCUCCUGUUCCAGGAAUGGGAGGAGCAGCCACCCCCGAUGGACACACUGACUCACACUCAGGUCCUGCUCGCAGAGCUUUGUGUGAUGGCGCUGGACACUCACAGCGAUGCCUCUCUGGAGUGUGCUGCUGACCAGCUGCAGCUGGCAGUACAGACAGUGGGAUAUGCAGUGACGGUGGCAGUAGUUGAGGAAGAGGAGUGGCAAUAUCUCAACUUCACACAGGCCCUGUUCUUGACUUUCACUAAUCUCUUUGAGGACAGGCCUGAUUCCCAGCUGAGUGUCUUCUCUGUGGCUAAUGAAUGGAGUCAGGAAGACAUCUCCUUGGAGCAGCUCUUCCUUGCCAAGUUUCUGGAGCUCCUCCUCAGAGCCCUGGAAAAGGAAACAGGCCCAGUUUUGGGUGUCCAGGAGAAGUGUCUGGAGCUGAUACUAGAUGCUAUAGGGCAGUGGCCACUUACAGAAACCGAUUCCUUUGCUGCUCUGUCUCCAGCAGUACUGGCACUUUUGGAUGUUAACUGGACAUCCCUGGAGGCACUGGACUUAAUAGGGAGUUUAGCACAGAAUAGGGUGAGCCCUAGUGGUGCGCUCUGUGUCCUAGACCUGGUGGAACGGCACAAUCUGCCCUCAUCCUGGAGAGACAAGCAGGGCCACUCAUUAAACACCCUGCUGGAGUCAACAUGUGAUUUCAACACAUUUUACUCUGGUUUAGACAAGGAGCUGCAGAAGGAAUGCACACAUAACCUGGAGUUCCUCCUUACCCAGGUGCCAGAACGACGGUGGAGUGUGAUCAAUACCGUGCACAAAGAAAUGAAAGACAAUCAGUGUGAAAUUAAAGAUAAAGUCAAUGCAGUUAUAUCUCACAAAAGCCUUUACAGGGGCUCUUUGAGAGGCUCCAAAUUUGGGCAAACAGAGCUGAAGAUACUACUUUCCAUCCUGAGCAGAGCAGUGCUCCACACACAGGGCAGGGGGCCCACAGUAGCUCAAAUGGUCAGAUGGUGUAACCUGGCCAUUAAUAACAGCGACGAUGAGUUCCUCACACUGGAAAGAGACCCCUGUGUGGCAGUAAUGCAUGCAGCCCUGAUGGUCUUUCAGGGCAGACAGGUGGGUAUAGUUCUGGGCUCUCCCUCCUAUAGGCCACAGGACUGGUCUUCAUUCUACCAGAUGCUUGGAAUUAACGUGCAAACAAGCACUACUGUCCCAUUAACCCAGCACUGUGAGUCGGAUAUUGUCUGUGGCAGCCUUGAGAGUUUUAUACAUGACUUCCUCCAACAUGGAUCUGGUCCAAGAGGGAGAGGCUUGGCACCUCUGCCUGACUGCCUCAUUCUUGGACAACCUCUGUCAAACAGAGAAUUAUGUUUCCCCAGGCUGUCCCAAAGCUCAGAGCUUGCACAUAAUCUGACUGAUAUCCUGCACUCUCUAAUGCCAACCUCAAAAAACAAUGCAGAUCAGUGCUUCAAGUUAAUGCACACAUUCCUCCACACACUCUCAACCCUCACCAAAGACAUCCAGCUACCAUUUGGAGAGGACAUGGCGUCAAUUUUCCAGCAAUUCUCAAAGCAGGCCAUUUGUCCGUAUCAGCAGUACAUGUUGAGGUUCCUGGAAACUUUCCUCAGGUCUACUUGUGACACACAGACAAAGGAAAAGUGCUAUGAGCUUCUGACUGCCACAGCAGUACAGAAUUGCAGUGAGGAACUCUGCAUAGAAUCUCUAUCCAAACUAUCAGACCUGGUAAGGAGUGGACGAUGGGCUCCGGCAGAUGCUUUGGACCUAUUCAUUUUCUUGGUGAAAAAGUUCAGAAAAGGGGAAAACCUUUUCACCUCGGUCCUGAAAGUGCUUCAUUCCCUGGAAAUCCACUGUGUCUGUCCCAGCUUCAGGGACAGAGAUGGAUGCUCAUUGACUCAGCUGCUAGAAUCUGAAGCCUCCACCACUCACCUAAUUUCUCGGCUCAGAGACUCCUUGAGCACAGAGGGUGAGAAGAGCCUGGAAGACAUUCUCCAAGAAAUGUGUGAAUCAAACAGAAGCAUCACAGAGACCACACUCCAAGAGGUGAGGGGCAUUCUAGCGUCUUGGCAGACUUGCAAGAUUAGGACGGUCCCAAAAUUUUCCAAAGGCUCCCUAAACUGUACUUUGAAGAGAGAGGAGCUGGCUGCAGUCCUGUUUGCUCUCUGCAAAGCUGUGUAUGAGACACAGGGCUGGUGGCCCAGAACAACUCAGAUAGUCAGCUGGUGUCUGCUGGCUCUCUCUGUCUCAGGGAGGCUGCUGCAGCUUGGAACAGGUGAGGGGAAGUCCUGUGUUGUAGCCAUGUUCACAGCCUUCAGGGCUCUGCGAGGGGAGAGAGUGGAUGUGCUCUCCAGCUCUCCCAUUUUGUCCAAGAGAGAUGCUGCUGAUUGGCGUCCAUUCUACAGCCUAUUUGAUGUCUCUGUCGACUGCAACACGGAUAAAGACAAAGACGAGGAUCGUAAGAGGUGCUACAGUUGUGAUGUAGUCUAUGGCACGGCUGAGAGCUUUGCCGCAGACUGCUUGCGCCAGAGCUUUGAAAUGAAGGAGGUGAGGCCUGGCCGUGGAUUUCAGUGCGUCAUUGUGGAUGAGGUGGACUCUCUCCUGUUAGACAAGGGAGUACAGAUGACCUAUCUCUCUACUGAUGUAGCUCCUAUGCAGCACCUAAAUAUUGUGCUGGCCAUGAUCUGGGGUAUCGUCAGCCAGUACGGUCUGGUGCCAACAGGCACGGGAACCAUGAUCCGAGGCCCCGUCCUGCCUUUUCACAAAGCCCUGUUUGACUCUGUGGAGACUGAAGAUGGUGUGGAGCCACUCACAUUCUUACAGCGGGCAGAGAACAGUGGGUUGAUACCCAAUGGCUUCUGCAAGGACUGUGACUCUACAAAGAAACUAACAGAGAAAUUAAAGACAGUGUCCCAGGACACAAUGCUGCAGUUUUUCCACUUGCCUGAGAAGGGGUUUAAAAGUUCAUCACUUUAUAAGUUCAUCACUUACACUCAAGACCAGCGAGGAACCCUGCUGCAUCACUCAGACAAUGACAGGGAAAGUGAGGGAGAAAAAAAUGAUCACAAGGUAUUUUUCUUGGUUCUGGAUGAAGGCCUGUGCUGUGCUCUGUAUGAGGAUGAGGAGACCCUCUGUGACGCCAUUGUGGAGGGUGUGAAAGAUCGGCUGCAGUUUAGCGCAUGUAAUCCAGACAAGAAUGAUAAAUGUCAAUGUGGAGCAGAUAAACACAAAACCAGAGUCCCUGGGUUCCUAAAAGAGCUGGUGGAAAAGAAUCUAAGGGUUUGGGUUCAAAAUGCCUUCCUGGCCGUCAAGGUGCAGGAGGGUCAGGAGUACAUAGUAGAUGGGGAACAAAUUCUCCCGGUGGAUUAUAGCUGCACCGGUAUCGUUGAGCGCAACAAGAAGUGGGGAAAUGGCCUGCAGCAGUUCCUGGAGAUGAAACACCAAACCAAGCUGAGCUGCAUGUCCAUCAUUACCAACUACCUCUCCAACGUGGCCUUCUUCAGGCAGUACGGGGGCCAGGUGUACGGCACCACUGGGACUUUGGGGACACAGUCAGAGAUCGAUCUGCUGCAGGAGCUCUACCCAGGCCUCUCCACCUGUGAGAUUCCAUCCUUCAACCGGAAAAAGCUGUCUGAGGUCAAGGGGGUGCUGGAGAGCAAUGUGGAUAAGUGGAGGGAGAGGAUUUGCUCCUCUGUCUUGGAGCAGACUCGUCCAACCUCCUAUCGAGAUGGAAGGGCAGCACUGGUCAUCUGUGAGUCUAUCAACCAAGCAAUGGACAUCCACAAGGCUCUCAAAGAGCAGGGGAGUGAGAAACAGCUCAGUCUCUAUACCAACAGCAACCAGGACAACUCCAGCAUCACAAGCCAGCUUCUCCGACCUGGGGAUGUGAUCGUGGCCACUAACUUGGCAGGUCGUGGAACAGACCUGCUUGUCUCCAAAGAGGUGAAUGGGGCCGGGGGACUGUUUGUAGUCGUCACCUUCCUGCCUGAUAACGCCCGAGUGGAGAUGCAGGCUUUCGGGCGCACGGCUAGGAAAGGGAGCCCUGGCUCGGCGCAGCUCAUCAUCUGCUCUGCACAUCUGCAGGAGCCCCUGAGAAAUGCGUCCACACUCCAGGAUGCCAGAGCAGCUAGAGACUCACUGGCCAUGGAUCAGGUAUCCCGUGUCCUGCAGGAUGAUAUCCCUGAGAUCUCCCUCAGAGAGGAGCUCUUUUCCCAAUAUUGCCAGAUUCUCAAAGGGAUCUACCAGCCCUUUUCCAAUUCAUCGUUAGGCAACUUAGACAUCUACAACAGCAAGCGCAGGGUGACAUUGGCAGUGCUGAACGAGUACUGGGGGAUUUGGCUGCUGAGAAAAUCGGAUGAGAUUGAAAAGUUGGAAAAAUCUCAGCUGAUGAAGAGCCUGGAGACUGAUAUAAAACGCGCCCAUCAGCAGUCCCAAGAAAACCUCUCUCCCUGUUCUAGCAUCUACCAUUUCAUCAAGUUUGGAAACAAAUUACUCGGUGAAAAUAAACUGAAGGAGAGCGCAGAGCUGUACAGUAGUGCCAUAGAGCUGGAUAGAUGCUGGGCUGCUAUUGCGCUCUAUAAACGUGCUUACUGCACUCUGAGGCAAAAACAAAAAGACUGUAUGGAAAAUGCAUCAAAAGACUUGGAGAAGGCCUUGGUUUCUGUGGAACUGUUUUUAGAACAAUGCACAAUAACCCAGCAACUGGUGAGCCUGUCAGAUAGAGACUCUGGGAAGACCAAGAGUGCCUUCCAGAAACAGAUGCAGGUCAGGAUACAAGUGCUCACAUACUUCCACAAUAACAUCAGCAGAGCAAUGGAGAAGCUUGAGUUGAUCAAACAGGAUAAAGAAGAAGCCCUUGUUGAUGAAAGCUCUGUCUUCAAUCUGGUCGAGGAUCCCAAUGACGAUGUUCACCAAGAGCUGUAUGAGUUUUACAAGCUGGGUAUGGAGAUGGUGUUUUCAGUGAAGCAGAAGCCCAGAUUCUGCUGGAAAGGCCUAGCUGUAUUCUUCCUGGGGGUGGCUCAGAUUGUGGGGGGGGUCCUCCUCACUGCAUUCACUGGUGGGGUGCUGCUACAAGUGGGGUUCCAGUACAUCAGUGAUGGGAUAUCAGACUGCAUCACUGGUGUGGAAGCCAUGAUCACAGGAACUUUCAGCUGGGCCUCCUGGGCUAUCAGCAAAGCUGUGUCCCUGGCUGUCUCACUCAUUGGCUUUGGAGUGGGAAAACUGAUCUCCAAGGGCUGGAGAGCCAGCAAAAAUGCCAUUAGUGGCUUUGGAAAAAAGCUCACCUCUCUUCCGAAACUAAUCUCUAACCAGGCCAAGGGUGGACUGCAGGCAGUCAUGAGAGAAAAUGUGAAAAACACUUUGAAAUAUGUUGGGAAGGAGGUUGUCCAGCAAACUGUAAUGUAUGGAGUGGGAAAAGUAGAGGAGAAAAUUAUUGAUGAAAUCACUAAUGAAAUUAAAGAAGUUGUCAAAACCACAGUCUUGGACAAGUGUAAAGACAGUAUUGGCUGCCAACCAAUGGGACCCUUGGUCGACAGGAUGGUGCUUGUGCACAUUGAAGAGCAAGGAUACCUCAGUGACCUUCUAGAUGAACCAGAGAAAAGAUCACGGAUGAAAAGGAUUUUUACAGAUAUCUGUGAAAAGGUUCUGAGGUCUCACUGUGCAGGCCUGGGCUGGCAAAAUCGUCUGCAUUCAUCCCUUCAGAGUGUCAUUAAAAGAGUUGCACAGGAGAAUAAUGGAAAGAUGAGAGCAGUUUGUAAAGCAAUUCAGGCAGCUCACAUGGGAGGUCUCUGUGUCGAUGCAAUUUAUUCAGCCAAAGAAGUUGCCAAUGAAUUCAACAGUGCAUUCUUGGAGGAGCUGCAGAAAAGAGUGAAAGAGCUUUAUGGAAAGAGAGGAACAGAUGAAAGUAAAAUAGAAGAGAAAAGAAAAAAUAUUUGUGGCAAUGACAUGGUGAAAUUAAAUGCAUUUAAAACAGAGGUGGCCGAAGUGAUGGCUUCUUGUCUGGCUGAAACAGUAUUCCAGGUUUUUCACCAGAAAUUCUCCAGCCACUUGGUUGGGCUCGCUCAAGAACAAAUAAAUGGCUACAUUGGUGGGUUCAUUUCCAAACGUCUGAUGACUGAUAGGACAAAAGAGAAGCUGGUAGGAGGCCUGAACAGCAGUUACAUAGCCAAUGCCCCACUAAGAAGGAAAUCCAAUAAACUUUCAAAAGUGGAAGAUCAACGUUUGGCAGAAACAUACGCAGAGGAAAUGAGGCCGCAAAGCACAUUCCCUCAUGAUUACAAUCCAGCCACCAUCCUGGAGGCCAGGUUACUGGCUGAAGAAAGCGGGAAGACUGUUGUUAUUUACAUCACAAACAGGCAAGGACAGAAAAUGAAAAUGUCUGUGGUUCAUCCCAGCCAGAGCUCCAAUCAGGGCAGUGUGAACCUACUGUACCAUCCCAGUAGUGAGCGUUAUCCCCAGGGUCACUACGACGCUCUGCACAAUGACCAGGUUGUGCCGGUCUCUGGCGAGGGGAACAAUUGCAUGUUCCAGGCGUUCGCUCGUGGCUUAGACCCUGAUGCCUCUGAUGAACAGAUCCACUCCAGGGCCUCCCAGCUGAGGCAGCAAGGGGCAGAUAUGGUCCUGAAGGAGCCGAACAAGUGGGUGCCGCUUAUCAAGUGCAGACAGAGGGCACUGGAGAUACGGGGAGGCAGCUGGUUCAUGGCAAAAGGGGGGAUGGAUAACCCAGAAAAUUGGGGUUUGGUUGAUACCUACUAUAACAACCGGAAACUACUGCAAGGUGUCAGUGUUAGUAAAAAUAUCCAUGCUGACCACCAGCCAGCAGUUGACAGUAUCUUACUUGCUUACAAAAUGGAUCCUGAAAGCAACCUGGCAAAGUCACUGAUAGAGAUAGGAACCAAUAAACCGUUCACCAGUGACUCCCUAAAGAAUCUGAAAAAACAGCAUGGACAGCACCUUAUAACUGUCACACUGCCUGAUCAAUUACACAGGAGUUGCCUCACCAAUUUAAAAGAAUUUAGAACUCUACAAGCUCAAUACAUUAGCAGUAAUGAUGUGGAGGGCUUUUUAAAGAUGUCUGUCCUGGCUGCCUCACCAGACCUAAUGUGUCUCCGGAAUAACACUCUGGUGAAUACACAGGCGAUGAAGAAUUACAAAGCUAUGUACCAAAACAGCAGUAAGAAGCUAAUUGACCAAUGGGCAGUUAAACUUGAAGGCAGAGGUUUCCAAGUACAGCGGGAGGUACAAAACGUGAAAAGCUGGCUUGGUGGGACAAUAGAAAAGAACGAUGCUCAUUACAAAGCAGCUUUGAAUACUAUAAAGCCGAAGGUAGGAUUUCAUUAUUAUUUUGUAAAUAAUAUUGUGAAUAGCUGCUAUGUUGUUAGCUAGAAAUGUGUGUGAAUUUUCCCAUUUAUCUGUCUCACUCUGAAAUUAGACAUUCCUGACUUUUUACUCAAUCUACCAACAUCUAACUCUAAUCCUACCCAUCUACCUGUAUUCUGACUGAUUGAUCUAACUCUCCUUGUAGCCAGCUACCUGUUUACUGAUUGUCCUAACUCUAUUCGUAGUUAUCUCCCUAUAUACUGAUGAAUCUAACUCUACUCGUAGUUAUCUCCCUAUAUACUGAUUAAUCUAACUCUACUCGUAGUUAUCUCCCUAUAUACUGAUGAAUCUAACUCUACUCCUAGUUUUUCUACCAAUAUACUGAUUAAUCUAACUCUACUCCUGUUUAUCUACCUAUAUAAUGAUGAAUCUAACUCUACACCUGGUUAUCUACUCAACCAAUAUACUGAUGAAUCUACAUCUACUCCUAGUUAUAUACCCAAUAUACUGAUGAAUCUACCUCUACUCCUAGUUAUAUACCCAUAAUACUGAUGAAUCUAACUCUACUCCUAGUUUUUCUACCAAUAUUCUGAUGAAUCUAACUCUACUGCUGUCUAUCAACCUAUAUAAUGAUUAAUCUAACUCUACUUACUAGUUAUCUACCUAUACAAUGAUGAAUCUAACUCUACUUCUAGUUAUAUACCCAUAUACUGAUGAAUCUAACUCUACUCCUAGUUAUAUACCCAUAUGCUGAUGAAUCUACCUCUACUCCUAGUUAUAUACCCAUAUACUGAUGAAUCUACCUCUACUCCUAGUUAUAUACCCAUAUACUGAUGAAUCUAACUCUACUCCUAGUUAUAUACCCAUAUGCUGAUGAAUCUACCUCUACUCCUAGUAAUAUACCCAUAUACUGAUGAAUCUAACUGUACUCCUAGUUAUAUACCCAUAUACUGAUGAAUCUAGCUCUACUUCUAGUUAUAUACCCAUAUACUGAUGAAUCUACCUCUACUCCUAGUUAUAUACCCAUAUACUGAUGAAUCUACCUCUACUCCUAGUUAUCUACUCAACCAAUAUUCUGAUGAUUCUAACUCUACUCCUAGUUAUAUACCCAUAUACUGAUGAAUCUACCUCUACUCCUAGUUAUCUACCCAUAUACUGAUGAAUCUAACUCUACUCCUAGUUAUCUCAAGAUGUUAAACCGACUUGUAGUAUCCCCUUAGUGAGUUUCAUGCAUUGCUCUAAAUGCAAAAUGUUGUUUUUACAUGCUAAACCACACCAGGUUUACACACACAUACACAAAGUCUUUCAACUUUCUUUUUUUUCAGAAUCAGAAUUCUGCUAGAAACAAUAACCAGACCAAGAUGAAUAAAUCUACUUUAAAUUGCCAGAACCAGAAACCAACAUUGAAGUAAAGGAAGAGAUUCAUGCAAUCCAUCAUUAUGUGGACUUCUAUAUGGACUCUUUCCUGUUCCAAAAAGUCUUUGCACUGUGCCCAACACCCGUUUCCUAGUCCUACUUAUCUUUAAUCCUCUGAAAAAUAUUGCCACCUCCAGGCCAGUGUUGAGAACUACAGUCAUGAAUGUCUUAUUUGUAAAAUGCUUUUGAUGAAGUGGAACUGGAAAAAUAACUAUCAACACUCAAUCUGCGUUUGAAUCCUGAAUGGCUACAUCUCCAGCUUCGGCCAUUCCCCUUUUUGCUUCUAUUGUUAUUUGCUUUUCAGUUAUACAGUGCCACUUCAGUAACGUUUCAAUAGCGCCAACUAAGAUCAGAUUAGAUUCAACUUGGACAAUGAACAGUACAAGUACAGUAUAAUGAAAUGCAGUUUGCAUCUAACCAGAAGUGCAAUUAGAAGAGGGCAGAAAAUAUAAAGUAUUAAGUAUAAUGUAUAUUACAAGUGUAAUGUAUAAAUGUGCAAUGAAGGCAAAUGCAAUUACAAAUGGCAAUUCUAAAUGUGCAAUGAAGGCAAUUGAAGGUGCAUGUGCAACUGAAAUGCAGGAAUAGCAGCAAUGAGGUUCCAGAGGUAGAUUUGUACAUGUAUCAACUGAAUAAUUCGUCAUUAUACUUUGCAAAGCUGUGUCAGUCAGAGAGAAAAUGACAAGUAUUAUUUAUAAUGUAUGUUGCAAGUGGGAUAUAUCGAUGUGCAAUGAAGGCAAAUGCAAUUACAAAUGGCAAUUCUAAAUGUGCAAUGAAGGCAAUUGAAGGUGCAUGUGCAACUGAAAUGCAGGAAUAGCAGCAAUGAGGUUCCAGAGGUAGAUUUGUACAUGUAUCAACUGAAUAAUUCGUCAAUAUACUUUGCAAAGCUGUGUCAGUCAGAGAGAAAAUUACAAGUAUUAUUUAUAAUGUAUGUUGCAAGUGGGAUAUAUCGAUGUGCAAUGAAGGCAAAUGCAAUUACAAAUGGCAAUUCUAAAUGUGCAAUGAAGGACAUUGAAGGUGCAUGUGCAACUGAAAUGCAGGCAUAGCAGCAAUGAGGUUCCCAAGGUAGACACUUGUGUAGCAACUGAAAAACGCCCUUAUCAGACUUUGUAAAGGAGUGUCAGACUCCAGUAGUACCAGGGAGUAGUGCCACAAGGUCCCUGAGCGACAGUGCUAAGAGGUGGGCGGGUGGGUAUGGUUAGUGAUGGGUGCAGAGUUCAGCAGGGUUACAGUAGUAGGGAAGAAACUGUUCCUGAGCCUGCUGGUGUGGGAACAAAGAGACCUGUACCACUUGCCUGAUGGGAGGAGGGCAAACAGUUUGUGGCAUGGAUGUGAAAGGUCCCUGGUGAUGCCGCGUGCCCUAUUCAGAUAUCGCUUGCACUGGAGUUCUACGAUGGUUGUGAGCUGGGCACCAAUGAGGUGCUGGGCUGUUUCCACCACCCGUUGCAGGGACUUCUGGUCGGCCACGUAGCAUCCGCCAAACCACACUGUGGGAAUGCUCUCGAUUGUGAAGCAGUAAAAGUCACAAGGAUCUUGGGAGACAGGCAGGCCUUCUUGAGCCUCCUUAAAGAGUGCAGGCGCUGCUUUGCCUUUUUGACCCGGGUUGAGGUUUUGAGGGUCAAGGAGAGGUCCUCGGAGAUGUGGUCACCCUGGAAUUUUAAGCUGGCCACACGCUCCAGCUCAGUGCCAUCGAUGAGAUCUGUGGCAUAACUGCCUUUAAACUUCCUGUUAUCCACAAUGUGCUCUCUGGUUUUCUUUGGUUAAUGGCCAGAUUAUUGUCAGCGCAUCAUGCCGCCAGGCAUUUGACCUCCUCCCUGUGACCUCAUCCCUUUUGAACCCAUAGCGGCUGUCUAUUGCAACGACGCAAAUGGCCUGGUGUCUUCAACAAUAGUUUUUGUGCAAAUAUCAAAGUAUAUUUCAAUAUUUAAAGUUUUAUACAUUUUUGUCUAGCGCUAAAGCCCCCACAGCCUUUCACUUUUUGUUGUUGUUUGGUGAAAAAGAAUUAGAAACAUCGUUGCUUUAUUAGUGUUAAUGAUGUCAGGGUAACUAACAUAAAUAGUCACAGCGAGUAAAUGUUUGGGGAUGUUUGAUGCAGUGAAAUUUUUGUAAUAUCUUUACGAUGACAACUCUGUUGUGUUUACGUGAUGGGCAAGCACAUCAACUGUGGAGCUCAAAUGAUUGUAAUUGAUUUGUAAUGGGAAGAGUUGCAGUGUUUAGGCUUUUUUAUUCGGCUAGCAAGUUUUCAUGUGUUUCUUCUGAUUUAAAUGUUUCUAUUUUAUAUAUAGAAAUUGCCCCAGCUGCUUGUCCUAGCUAACUACUCAGCCAACUGUCAGACCAUCUAGAAAAACUGUGGCCGCAAAUGUUUGCUUAGCCUGCAAAGCAACGAGAUGUCACUUUCACUAGCUAGCUAUGCGUUGUGGUGGUAAUGUUGUUCUAUGCUGAGAACUCUUGAUCGUGAUGAUAUCCUGAAUCUGCAUAAAGAUGUGUUUUCACUUAUCUAUACAAAGUAAUGUCUUGAGGUUUGUGUGCCUGUCACAUCCUGGCUAUGCCCCUAGCCAUCUCUGCGCUGGGCUCGGGCCAUAGUCAGGACCAGACAGAAAGGGGUGCCUCUAGGCACCUCUAGUGCCAUUUUGUUCUCUCCAAUUGGAGGUAGGUGUAAAUUGUUGCAUCCAAUUGGGGAACCUAUUUAUGUUCUAUGUUUGUCCACACCUGGUGUGGAUCAUUGUGUUUGUGCUACCUGUGCAACGUGAUCGGUUGCUGACUUGCUUUUGGUUUUCUCAUUAAACCAUGGAUUACCACGACUACGUGUCUGUGCCUGUGUCCUGCCUUCACAACCGUGACAGUCCAUUAUGGUUACUUUCUGAUCACAUGAGCUUUUUGAGCUUGAAUCAUUGCUGGCUCAAUCAUAAAGAGAGUUGUUGUGUUUAGUUUUAUGUUGUCAGCAAAGUAUUUCUUGUGACUACCCAUGUCAUUCAAUUAGAAACUACCCCAGCUGCUUGCUGUAGCUAGAUAGCUAUCUAGGUUAGCUAAAUAAGUUGUGUGGUGGAAAAUUUUAUGAUUGUGUCUAUAAUGGGAAAAGAUUUAUAUAAUUCCAAGUUACAAGAAUGCGAUAUCAAAUUAAAUACCAGUAUGUGCCCUAUAAAACAAAAUAAACUUAUAAC